rnacentral:rRNA from 1 species
UACGUAGGUGGCAAGCGUUGUCCGGAUUUACUGGGCGUAAAGAGCGCGCAGGCGGUCGUUCAAGUCGAGUGUGAAAGCCCCCGGCUCAACUGGGGAGGGUCACUCGAUACUGAUCGACUCGAAGGCAGAAGAGGGAAGCGGAAUUCCCGGUGUAAGUGGUGAAAUGCGUAGAUAUCGGGAGGAACACCAGUGGCGAAGGCGGCUUCUUGGUCUGCUCUUGACGCUGAGGCGCGAAAGCUAGGGUAGCAAACGGG